AUGAUGACGAAUGAUGAUGACAUAACAGUAAUUCUAUGAGCCAAGACAACAAAUCAGACAACAAAAAACAUUGAAUUAUUAUUUUGUACUUCCUGCAGAUGAUUCGAUUGCGUCUUCAUUUGAAACGCCAUUGCCUAUCUCUACUGGGGACGGUGACCGAAGAGAGAGAGAAACCAUACCAAUCUGGGCAAAGAAUAUCAACGCGACAUUGGAGGUUCUGCUCCGAAGGCUUGAGACUGUUGAGCAGAAUCAGAGAGAGGCUCUAUUAUUGCUACGGGCAAAUCGACAUGGGGACCCUGGGGAAGCUAGUGUCGAGUUACUGCAGGCGCAAACUCAGGCCGAACUACAGGAACUCGAGGAGCACCUUAAAAAUAGAGAUUUCACAAAAAAAAUGGUAAAUGUACGAAUAAUGGUGAAGUGACUUUAGGCUAUAUUGUACACAUGCCACCAAGUGUGCCACAUGGCCCUGCCAUUGAGCUUUUUUCAUCUUUAGUUCCCUGUUGUUAGCUAAGUAGUUAGAGAUGAGCAGUCCAUCUUCAAAUACCUUAAUUUGGUUCGCCCCCCUCAAAAGAAAACACCACCAACACCACAUGAAAAAUACAAUGCAAAUACUUGCCUUAACCAUGGUUGUUUGAUUUCCUUAGAUUUCCCAUCUGAGCCUAGUUGGGGGGUCCAAUCCUGGGGAGUGUGUGAGGAGGGUGUUGCGCUCUGUGGCCUCAAACUUUGUUUGGAGCAGCUACAGCCUUAGUCGAAAGAAGGGGAAGAUGCCACUGCUUGGCACAGCAGUGGGCAGUACCAUCAAACAGGCGAUCAUGAAAUGGAAGCCGGGGCUGGAAGAGAAGGAGGUGGAGCUUCUGAUGGCAGAGGUCUUGAAACAUGCCCCCUCAGCCCACUCCAAAAGUUUGAAGGGUCGGAUGGAACGGCAGGCGGAAGAACAUCCCCAAAAUUGAAUUCAAAAUUAUUUGAAAUAAAAAUAUAAUAAAUUGAUAUUUGUUAGUGUACUGUCUUGUCUUUUGAAUAGGCUUGGGGUCCACAUUAGCAACAGCCACCAGCCAAAAUGUAGGUAAAAUAUUUAUGUGGCUUGUAGAUUUGACUAGAUUUUGUGGGUUCUAUAAAGGGCAAAUGAGGACUGCACCAUGCAGAUCCGCCCUAACGUCCUUGCAACGUUAUGGCAACCUUUUUGAAGAAGGUUGCAUAAAUGUCGCCAGUAUGUAUUUUGGUUGCCACGACGUCGCCAGGACGUGGCAGUUACGGACGAGCAACGUCGCCAAGAACGUCCUUGCAACGUUAUGGCAACGUUAUGGCAACCUUUUUGAAGAAGGUUGCAUAAAUGUCGCCAGUAUGUAUUUUGGUUGCCACGACGUCGCCAGGACGUGGCAGUUACGGACGAGCAACGUCGCCAAGAUACAUUGCGGCAACGUGAUCGCGUCUUUCACCCGCACGUCGCGGCAACGUUGAAACUUACGUUGCGGCAACCUAUGUUUGGUCAUAAAGUUACGUAACCGCGACGUCGCGGCGACGUAACUGCGUUAGCUGGGUAGGUACUUUGGCAUGACAAACCAGUAUUACCAGUAUUCAUCCCUCAAAUGAACUCUAAUUAGUUAGCCGGACAGCUAGUUAAAUAGCAUCCAGCUGCAGCCCUGGAGCCGGAGCCGGGGCCUGUGGUGGGGAAACGGGACCUGUUGUGUGGGACUGGGAGGUCGUUUUUUCCGGCGGUUUUUGCGUCACAGUCGGCCCCUUGGUUGCCCCAGUCGAGUUUUUCAACAUUCAUUUUUGGUGUUUUAUGCUAAAAAUGGAUAAACUCUUAAUUCCUCGAGCUGCUACACCACGUGCCCCGGCCCGGAUACCUCCGGGUCUACAGCUGGAUGCUACUCCGCUAGUUGGCUGGAUUACAAACGUUACCUAUCAGAACUAUUUCACUGUUUUUUCCAACCAGCGAGGGACAUUCACAUUGUCAUGCAAUGCAUUGUGAAGGAGUUACACAUAAUACAAACUAAAAACGUUUGAAUGUUUAACAGUGUUAAAAGAGUUAUCUCUUUGCGUAUCUCAUUAUGCAGUUUAAAGACUGCGUUGGGUUCUCGGGCGUCCCUGGUACUUCCACUUCCACAUAAACCCUGAAGCCAGAUUGAACUGUACAUGGAGGAGAAAGUGAUUGUUGCAUUUUGCGACUCCCGGAUCUCCUGCGGGGGGACUCCGGUGAGUUCAGCUCCGGGGGCGACGGGAGUCCGCAUACGGCAACAAUCACUUUCUCCUCCAUGUCGCAGUUUCACCUGGACUUCAGGGCGUCAAAUCCAAAGUUCCUUUUCCCCAAUUCCUUCCCAACCAUGGCAGAGAAGCACCACUACGAGUCUUUACUUGUUGUGGAAGUACCAGAGACGUAGGAGUACCCGACCCCGUGAUAUUAUAUAGAUAUCUCCUCCAUGCUGGGUUCAUUCUGGCAUGCAGGGAGUGAAAGAUUUCAACUUGAGUGAAGUGCCGCGUAGUGUACUGCGAGUAGGGGUAUAGAGGAUCUCCACUACUAAACGAAUUUAAAUUAACUUAUGUAUUUAAAUGUUCCUGUAGUUGAAAAUGGCUCCACGCAUCAGUCCCCUUAAAGAUGCCAGGAAUCAUGUGAUUGCAAAGACGGACAAAACUUGCAUGUUGGAUGUGCAGUAGGCUACAUCAAUGCAUUGAAAGGAAAGAUAUUAAAUGUGGGGAUUUCUCAGUUAAUAAUUGCUAUCAUAUACAAUAUUUAUGACAUGCAAUCGGUUAUGUCAAAUCAGCUGCAAUCUAUUGUCAGUUUUUGUGUUAUCAAUCCUUUUUAGACAAUAUUUGCAUUUGUAAAACAUUACGGUUAACUUAUUUUUAAACCAAAAUGGACAUGCAUGCUUUCUUUUUAUGGUGCAAAUGUUUUUUUUACAGGUCGUGGUGUAUUUGCAAAGGGUUCCAUUUCUCAAGGAGAUUUCGUUCUCGAAUACAGGGGAGAAUUCCUGUUGUUGAAGCCCAGAGAAGGAGGCUGAUAUACCACGAAUCAUGUACUGCAUUCAUGUUUAGGUGGAGAGGGAAAACAUGGUGGUAAGUAUUUAUGUUGCGCCUAAACUAUACUCUAUACUCUAUUUUAGGUGAGGCUCUGAUUUUGUGGAAUACAUUGUCUGUUAAAUAUGACUGACAAUGUAUUCCAGAAAGUUAAACUGAUUGAGCCAUGUGAUCCUGCAUUGUAACUAUAACAAUUAUUUUUCCAUGAACUUGUCAUGACAUUUAUGUUCCCCUUUCCUCAUGUUUCAUCUUUUUAGUAUCGAUGCCGCCAGAGAUGACGGUUCACUUGGGCGCCUCGUUAACGACGAACACAGGCGUCCAAACUGUAAAAUGAAAAAUAUUGAUGUCAAUGGAAGCCCACAUCUUUGUUUGUUUGCCCUUAUGGACAUAAAACUAGGAGAAGAAAUUUCAUACGAUUAUGGAGGUGAAGACUGCCCAUGGAGAACAGAAACGACCACAGUUGGACCAAAUGCACUGCUGGUAGAAGAUUUGCAUACUGUUGUCCUGGCAAAUACCGAAGUAGGUGAUGCUACUCAUCCAAACAUCGCUCAACAGAUGACCACAGUUGGAGACGAUGCCCUGCUAGAUGGGGGCUCGAAACCUGUCCUUUCAAAUACCGAAGGGGAUGAUGAUGCUACUCGUCCAAAAAUCACUAAACAGGUACAUUCAUGUUUAUCACUUCAAAUGUAAUUAUAGUCUCUCUGAUAGCCUUGCUUUUUCAGUUUUUGUGUUUUUAAAGCUAGCCAAAAUAGGAAAGGAAGUAUAUUUUGGUUGUGUUCUGGUUUAAAUAAAUACAGCCAAAAAGUUUGAUGUAAUGCAACUAUAAGAUGUAUGGUCGUGGGAUAUUUAAAAUAUAUUUUAACCUUCAGAGGGACUUUCUUUCUAGGUUAAUUAUCACUCUAUUCUGGACACUCACGACGUCCCCACAACACACCUUUUAGUCAGUGUUUGGCUAGAAGCUUUGGGUGAAACGUUGGAGACAACUGGUCCCCACAAGGAACAUUAACAUUGUGUUUGAAAUGUCCCCACAAAGCAUGUUAUUAAAGUGUGAUCUCAGAGAGAGCUGGGCUGGGCAGGAACAGAUAUUUGUGUUUUGAUAUCAAUUAUUGAUAACUGGUAUGAAUGAUAACUUGUAUGAAUUCCACAGAAAAGGUUCUUGAAAGUGAAGACGAAAGCACACAGGGGGCACACUGUUCAUCUACUGUUGAUGGUAUGUAAUGUCAAUUGUAAGUGUCAUUUGGGGACAUAUGGAAUAACUAUUUAGGAAUUUAAAGCUAAAAUUAUGCAAAGAAUCUAACAUAAUCCAUGGCAUACUUCAAUCAAACUUAAGUCCUUAAAAAAACACUUUACUGUAUUGCCUGCUCAGGUAAAGUUGACCUCAAGAGUUGGUUGGCACUUGGUUAUUUCUAACCAUCAACAACUUUAAUGAUUGAAUACACUUGUUUUCACUAAAUACAACAAACAUCCCUGCAAAAAAGGACAUAAAUUGGGUUUUGUCUUCAAGCUAUAGUACAUGUAAAGUAUGUGUCUUACUGGUAAUGUUGAAUUUUGAUUAUUUUCCAUAAAACCAUCAGUAGAAGAGACUCUUCCUCACAUCGAGAGCCCGGAAAUUCCACCAACCAAGAAGCGAAGACAACGGCCGUUGGUUGAAAUGCCGGAAGAAGUCGGCGCUAUGAGGCCUUCCUCCCAAGGUGAACUCUUUACACAUGUCUUUUGUACGUCAGUAAAGAUUGUCUGUUCCUCUUUGGAAAUGGAUUUUAUUCAGUGUACCAAUUUCAAGUUGUAUUAGUUAUAACAGCCCUAUCAGAAUAUACAAAGGUUGGGGGAUGAAUUGUCAUUAGUUUAUUUUCAAUGCAUAUGCCUAUAAUGGGGGGAUUUAUGCAAUAUCUGUUUGGAAAUUGAAAGCUAAGAUGAUGCAUAUUAGCUUUCAAUUGGCUCACGUGGCAUACUUAAUCAACAUGCAUCCUUAAAGAGCCCAUGCCAUUAA